GACAGAUGCAGGAGCCUGGACACGGAGAGGCCUGUUCCACUCAAAGCAACACACAACCCAACACGGCUGUUGGAGGAGGUGGGUCGUGUACACUCCACAGCGAGCAUUGGCUUCACUGAUGGCUUUAACCAGAUAGUUCCCAGUGUUUGCCCUGGCUCAAGGAAAAUCUCCACUAGCUAAACAGUACUUGGAGGCCAGAGAAGAAGCACUCACCGAGAAUCUACAAGGAAUGGACUUCAGAGAUCCUCCUGUCAAUCAUUUUUAAAAUGAGUGUGGAUCAUCACAUCAUGAUUGGAGAGGGUGAACCCAACACACCAUUCCCAAUUGUCCAGGUGACCCAAGAAGACUGGAAGUCCACAUUUGGGGGACGUAGCUGUUGUUCCCUGAAGGUAGACGGGGUCGAGGUGUGUGAAGGCAUGAAGGUAGAGGAAGCAACGAUCUCAUCGUUUUAUUCUUAUUUUGUUUUUGAUCUUGAAUACCAACCCAAAAACAAGAACACUCUGAUUCAUCCAGCGAUGUAUUGUGAAAAUGAAUGUGAAGGGAGUGUAUUUCACUUUGAAAAAAGGAAUUCUCUCACCAUGCAACACAUCCACAACAAAAACAUCUUGUGUGGCAUACUUGACAUUGUUAACGGUUACUUCUGAAACAUGUAUAACUUUAUCUUCACUUAAAGAAACAUCAGUGAAAUAUUGCUCUAGAGCACACUGGAGAGUAAGUGGUAAGGAACAAAAUGGAGUGCUAGUACUGCUUCUUGGUACCUUCUCAAAAUCCUCUAAAUUAUUUGAAGAAAAGUCCCAGCAUUGUUUUAACUGGUGACGGUUGCUCAGAGUGGAAGCUAUAUUAAUGAAAUUACGACAAUUACUUGCAAUAUUCUUAAAAAUUUGGUGUUUGCUUCAAACUUCAUGCACCAGUGAGAAUGAAGAGGCCCAAACAUUGACCUUAAUCUUCAAUAAUGAAUUAAAUAAUGGCAUUUUGGUGUAAUAAAAUUUCCAAAUACAGCUUUUCAACUCUGUCAAAAAUUCUUGCACAAGUACAUCUAAAAGAGAUUCUCGCUUCACACCGUUGGAGCUAGAACAAUAUCUACAAUUUCUCGGCACAACAGGUAUACACGCCAAUAUUGGCACAAUGGAAUACGAUGUGCGAUCAAAAAAGGAAUAAGUCUAAAAAUGCACUAUUUCUGAGAUGCCGAGCCCGCAAUGCCUCCUUAUUAUAGUAGUCUUUGAGACCACCGUGCUGGCUUAUUUGCUCUAUCAUUUUGACCUAUUCUCAUUCUCAGUAGCUUUUCUCUUGUAUGCUAAUAUUUUUUUUAUGCACAUGGCACAGGACAAGUUUCAAAACUAAAGGUAUGACACCCUCUAUCAUGUCAUGCAUUAUGUCUGGAGAUAAGGACUUAGUAACAUCUACACUGUACCCCAUAUGUUACUCUACUGUCAGGAUCUAACCUCAAUUUACAGUAUUCUUUCAAUUUGAACUGAGAAGAGAACUCUCUUGAUGCUUCCUCAAAAAAAAAAUCAUUGGACUGUAAAUCUUGAAGUUCAGGACCUCCUUCGACAUCAAAACAAUUUUCUUUAAUAUAAAAUAUAAAUUCAUAUUUCUCCUUUUUUUUUUUUUUUUAAACAAGCAAAAUAGAAAGUUUACAUCACUAAGUAUUUCUUGCUGAACAGAUUCUAGUAAAUUGUGUUCUCCCUGUAUUUUAGGAUGAAGCUACAAAGAUUAUUUUUAAAGGCAUCAUGGGCAUGAGUAAGUCCCACAUGUUGGACCAACUUCAUGAGAGUUAAAGUUUUUCUUUGGCACUUGGGUCACUGUUAUACACAAGGAUGUAAACAAGGCAUUUAGAAAUUAAGAUUUAGUAGAUGAGGUUUAUUGAUCUGGGUACAGUCGUCGGCAGAUGUUUUUGUUGUGGAUGUGUUGCAUGGUGAGAGAAUUCCUCUUUUUUUUUUCAGAAUGAAAUACAUUUUUAAUGUGGACACUACAUGGGUUCUUUGUGGAAAACUGAUAUUUCCAAAGUAUUUUAGCCAGCACGCAGAUGAGGUACCUGGAGAUCUGUCUUUGUGGCAAUGAAAUACAGUGUUUAAGACUGUUUAAAAAUUACACCUUCAGAUUGUACAAAUAUUUUAGCACUGGUGUGUAUCGACUAAUCUUUAGAUGUUGUAUCUUUCUUUAUAACUUUGGUCAUUAAAGUGUAUUGCAAAUGAAGAUUGUGGUGUGUGGGAGUUAUUCACUUUCUAGUAUUUGAAUU